rfam:Opisthorchis viverrini opera_v5_40.1, whole genome shotgun sequence.
GUAGAUCUGACGGCGGUACACAUACUACAAUUGGAAUGAUACAGAGAAGAUUAGCAUGACCCCUGCGCAAGGAUGACACGCAAAAUCGUGAAGCGUUCCAUAUUCAU